CUUGAUCUACCGAAACAAAUCCAGUGAAGAAUUGCCGUAGAAAAAGAAAAGAAAAGAAAAGAAAAGAAAAUCGAGUGAAGAAUUGCAACCAGAUAAAAGUCUACCAACCUUAUUCAUGAAGUGGCUGCCAUGUCCGGAUGAAGGCAAUGCCAAUACUUGUACCGAUGAAAGAUGGAGAGAAAUAGGCAGGAUGGUUGGAGGGAAUUUUCCUAUAACGCAGAGUGAUUGUACCCUUUAAGCUUGUGGUAAGAGAUCGGUCUGCCUUGUGGGAUAUUAAGUAAAAUCUUAUGUUUUUAUGUUGAUACUACUUUAAAUUCAUGUAAAUAUGCAAGUAAAAUAUAUAUAUAAUGCUCAUUUCUUUCCC